CAUGACAUUUGCUUAAAAGGUGCACUUGCAUCACUACCAGAUGGACCUGCGUUGUAUUAGCUAGUUGGUGGGGUAACGGCUCACCAAGGCGACGAUACAUAGCCGACCUGAGAGGGUGAUCGGCCACACUGGGACUGAGACACGGCCCAGACUCCUACGGGAGGCAGCAGUAGGGAAUCUUCGGCAAUGGACGGAAGUCUGACCGAGCAACGCCGCGUGAGUGAAGAAGGUUUUCGGAUCGUAAAGCUCUGUUGUAAGAGAAGAACGAGUGUGAGAGUGGAAAGUUCACACUGUGACGGUAUCUUACCAGAAAGGGACG
rnacentral:rRNA from 1 species